rnacentral:snoRNA from 1 species
GCGCGGUGCUUUGAGAGGCUAAAGCAAGUCUGCAUAAAACCCAGAGAAGAGGCUGUACAUCUCCUCUUUGCAUCCUGUCUGGAGUCACAGCU